rnacentral:lncRNA from 1 species
GAGCUCGCCCCCCGGUCCCGCUGGUGGUGGACGAGGAGGACGUGAGCUGGAGUCCCCUCCCCGCCCCCCCCCCCCCCCCCACCCCCCCGCCGCUCUCUCCCCGAUGGACAGGGCUGCGUCCGGAGCUCAGGGACAAAGCCCUCUUGGCAGGGGCUGCAGCUGGGCCCGUGAAACAGCCCUUUCAGCUCCGGCUCUGAAUGGCGGUUCUGUGGCCUCGUUGGAGGAACACAGGCGCCUUUUCUGUGUCACUUCCCCCUCACCAGCGGAGCUCCAGAAAUAUGCCACAGCUGACUUCAGGUGAAUCCUUCACUUGGCUGCUGUCCUGUCCCGUGUCUGUAAAGUCGGGAUCUCAACGCCAAUAUCACAGGAUGGAGGAGGAUGAGGUGUAUUGAAUGCUGCAUCCGUGUUUAUUGUUUCUCCAGCACCUUCUUGUAUCGGUCAGGACAGGAUAGGCCCUCCCCAAGGCUGCCUGCACGCUGCUGUCCUGCCAUUUCCAAGUCCUGGGUCAGCCACACAGUCAAGAGAGAGACAGCAUGUGUCUCUCCGAACAGCCUCAGACGAGGAGCACACGGCCGACUCUGCCUAGCAGCCCAGGGGGAGGAGCUGCACACUGACAGUGAGGAGGGCAGCAGGGGAUCAAGCAGCAGUGAGCCCCACAGAGAAGCAGCACAAGUUCUCUCCUGUCUCGGGAAAGCUGCUGUCCAGCCUAUGGCAGAGCGCCUCUCGGACGGGGAGCCCUCUGACCCCCCGAGGGUUCCAUCUGGCUCUGAGAGCGAGCAGGUCUCCUGGUGAUCCGUGCUCAGCGACCGGAAGAUCGUGGUCACGCCCCCACUGAGUCCACUCUUCCCUUAUGAAAACAUCCUCGCUUCCUACAACCAUCCUUUAUGACACACGGGUUUCAGCCCCUUACCAGCCCGGUUCCAGCCCCCAGUGGCAUUUCGAUUUGUCUCCUUCCCUCUCAAAGAUCUGAGCCCUGAAUUUAAUAUAAUCCUCCAGCCAGCCUCCGAACUGAGCCUCUGGAGAGCUGAGAAGAGCAGAUGAAGAUGUGUCAACAGUGGUCAGCUCACCCGUUUCAUCCUUCAGCUUCAAAACUCUGGAGCCACACAGACCAGGUCUGCAGAUUUUCAGGAUUCUUGCUGCUGCUGCCGCUUAAAAGCUUAGGAGAGAAAAAUAAAAUUCCGCCAAAUUGGGAAGGAGUGGUGUAUUUGUUUCUGAUUGCUGUGUAACAAAUGACCACAAAUUUAGUGACCUAAAACAGCAUAGACGUCUGACCUCAGUUUCUGUCGAUCAGAAGUCUGAGCACAACUAAGCUGGGCUCUCUGCUCAGGGCCUCACAAGGCUGCAACCACCACGUCAGCC